CCUACGGGAGGCAGCAGUGGGGAAUAUUGGACAAUGGGGGCAACCCUGAUCCAGCCAUGCCGCGUGUGUGAAGAAGGCCCUCGGGUUGUAAAGCACUUUCAGUGAGGAAGAACGCCUGGUGGUUAAUACCCAUCAGGAAAGACAUCACUCACAGAAGAAGCACCGGCUAACUCCGUGCCAGCAGCCGCGGUAAUACGGAGGGUGCGAGCGUUAAUCGGAAUUACUGGGCGUAAAGCGCGCAUAGGUGGCUUGAUAAGCCGGUUGUGAAAGCCCCGGGCUCAACCUGGGAACGGCAUCCGGAACUGUCAAGCUAGAGUGCAGGAGAGGAAGGUAGAAUUCCCGGUGUAGCGGUGAAAUGCGUAGAGAUCGGGAGGAAUACCAGUGGCGAAGGCGGCCUUCUGGACUGACACUGACACUGAGGUGCGAAAGCGUGGGUAGCAAACAGGAUUAGAUACCCUUGUAGUC
rnacentral:rRNA from 1 species